UCACGCAUCGCGUCUCCCCCGAAUCCACCCCGAGUGGAGGGGAAGGAGGAUGGUCUCCCGUGACUCACYGGUUGCKGCUGGCCUAAAAUUGGAGCCCUSGCAUCGGGAUGCCGUGGCKAUAGGUGGUGAACAAGGCCUCGGCCAAGCAAGCAACCCGCCGCGCGUCGCGAUGCCAACGUGAGCUCGAAGGACCCUUUGA
rnacentral:rRNA from 1 species